GUGUCAGCAGCCGCGGUAAGACAGAGGGGGCAAGCGUUGCUCGGAAUCACUGGGCGUAAAGGGCGCGUAGGCGGGUCGUCAAGUCGGUCGUGAAAUUCCCGGGCUCAACUCGGGGGGGUCGGCCGAAACUGAUGGUCUUGAGGGGGGCAGAGGAGUCUGGAAUUCCCGGUGUAGCGGUGAAAUGUGUAGAGAUCGGGAGGAACACCGGUGGCGAAGGCGGGGCUCUGGGCCCACUCUGACGCUGAGGCGCGAAAGCGUGGGGAGCAAACGGGAUUAGAUACCCUCGUAGUCC
rnacentral:rRNA from 1 species